rnacentral:lncRNA from 13 species
CCCCACCUUAUCUCCAGUAGGUGGCUGGGAAGGUUAGGUUGCCUGGGUUGAGAACAACUUCAUGGACAAAAAUUUGGAUGAUUUCUGCCCUGUGAAGUCAUCUCAUGGUAAUUGCCACAAGGAGUUUUGCUCCGUCACCAGGCUGGAGUGCAGUGGUGUGAUCUCGGCUUAUUGCAACCUCCACCUCCCGGGUUCAAGCAAGUCUUCUGCCUCAGCCUUCCGAGUAGCUGGGACUACAGUGCACCUUCCAGUGUGGCAGAAAUUGGAAAGCUUUACAACAAAUAAGCAAACUAUUUUGACACUUUCCUGCAGGGCGCAGCGUGGGAAGAAAGAAGAGAAAAGUUCUUGUUUCCACAUGAAUCACCCCGGAGCAGCAUCUGUCCUCAAUUUUGACAAAGCAAAUGAAAGGGGAAAAGAGUUCUUAUUGACUGGGAGAAAACAGAGACAGCAAAGCCCAGAAGCUUCUCUUUGGUCAGCCUCGCAAUUGUAUUUCUGUCUUUCCCUCUUUGCUGUCCUCCCAAGGACUAGACAUCCAACACUCCUACGGAGGCUCUCACGACAUUGA